rnacentral:rRNA from 1 species
CCUACGGGAGGCAGCAGUAGGGAAUAUUGCUCAAUGGGGGAAACCCUGAAGCAACAACGCCGCGUGGAGGAUGAAGGUUUUCGGAUUGUAAACUCCUUUUGUUAGAGAAGAUAAUGACGGUAUCUAACGAAUAAGCACCGGCUAACUCCGUGCCAGCAGCCGCUGUAAUACGGAGGGUGCAAGCGUUACUCGGAAUCACUGGGCGUAAAGAGCGCGUAGGCGGGAUAGCAAGUCAGAUGUGAAAUCCUAUGGCUUAACCAUAGAACUGCAUUUGAAACUGUUAUUCUAGAGUAUGGGAGAGGUAGGUGGAAUUCUUGGUGUAGGGGUAAAAUCCGUAGAGAUCAAGAGGAAUACUCAUUGCGAAGGCGACCUGCUAGAACAUAACUGACGCUGAUGCGCGAAAGCGUGGGUAGCAAACAGGAUUAGAUACCCCUGUAGUC